rnacentral:rRNA from 1 species
GACAUAGGUGGCGAACGUUAUCCGGAAUUACUGGGCGUAAAGAGUGCGUAGGUGGUUCAAUAAGUUACUGGUGGGAAAUCGGGGCUCAACCUCGUGGAAGUCAGUAAUACUAUUAAACUAGAGGGUCGGAGAGGUUAACGGAAUUCUAUGUGUAGCGGUAAAAUGCUUAAAUAUAUAGAGGAACACCAAACGGCGAAGGCAGUUAACUAUUCGAUUCCUGACGUUGAGGCACGAAAGCGUGGGGAGCAAACAGGG